rnacentral:lncRNA from 1 species
GAUAAGUACAGGCCCCAAACCCUAGUGCUCAGACCCACAGGCCCUUGUGGAGGGCAGCCUGCACCCUGGGUGAGAGUUUAUAGGUGCCCUCAGCCCAGAGGGUCCCCCACCUCUUAAGAUACAAACCGAGAGCCAGGGAGGCCUCUCACAAGUAUAGACCUUUCCAGCUGGCAGAGCUCACCUAAGCCAUCUGCCUAACAACCUUUUUAGAUCCAGUCUGGCCACCCAGAAGGACCAGCCAACAUCUCCUCCCAGGCCCACCCCUUUUCAGACAGAUGCCAGGCCCUGGUAACAGGACCCUCAGCACAUGUCCUCUUCUGAGGUCUCUGUCACAGUCACAUGUCAUCACCCUCCCUCCCACCAGGCUGGGUUCACCUGCCCUCAGCACGGCAUGGUUUCAGCAGUGGGUAGAAGUGCUCCUUGACGUAGUUUAAAAGGGGUGUGAUGCUCAUUCAGAGCUGACAUGACCUCCACCACAGCCCAGGCUACCCUGAUGGACCCCAGCACUGUCCCAGGCUGCCAGUCUCCAAGGGCAGAGACCUCAGACCAUUAGGCCCAGAACAUUCUCCCUUAACAUGGGCACACUCUCAAGAGUGUGCACCCACAUUGCUAACAGGUGACCUUCAGCCCUGGGAAGGUAAGGGAGGAGGGCUCAGGACAUUCCAGAUGUAGGGCAUGUCCAAUAUUUUCCAUCCUAGAGGGCAGGGUCACAUCAGCAGUACUGGGUUCUGGUCAGCUACAGAUGCCCCCUCUAGCAAACCAGGGCCAGAGAUGCCCUGGUUCCCUGAAGGUCCCACCUCCAUGUCUCUCAGCCUUCAUAGCCUCCACAAGUUGGCAAGGGGCUGGUAUGGUAGAUGCCAGGACUCCUGGAAGGGGGGUGGUGCCUAGAAUUUCAUUCCUCAUAAUUCUCCCGAACGUAUUUUUUAAAAUAUAUUUUUAUUUGUAGAUGGACACAAUAUCUUUAUUUA